UACGUAGGUGGCAAGCGUUGUCCGGAAUUAUUGGGCGUAAAGCGCGCGCAGGUGGUUUCUUAAGUCUGAUGUGAAAGCCCACGGCUCAACCGUGGAGGGUCAUUGGAAACUGGGAGACUUGAGUGCAGAAGAGGAUAGUGGAAUUCCAGGUGUAGCGGUGAAAUGCGUAGAGAUUUGGAGGAACACCAGUGGCGAAGGCGACUAUCUGGCUGGUAACUGACGCUGAGGUGCGAGAGCGUAGGGAGCAAACAGG
rnacentral:rRNA from 1 species